rnacentral:piRNA from 1 species
UCCCCAACUCUGUGACACAGGAGCUUUGCC